AGAGCUGGGGGAAACCCAGGGCAGGUCAUUAGGUCACAGGGUAGAGGCAGGGAGGGACAGAGAAAGAUCGAACCAUCAGAUGCCCCACCCUCCGCCCUUGAGGCCAUCCCUCUGUCUUUGCUUUAGCUCAAGCCAGUGGAGAAUGGUGUUUCCUGGGAAGUCUGGCCUCUGUUCCCAAGGCCACAGUUUCUUCUGGUUUGGCCGCUCAUCAGUCCCUCACCUCUUGUUACUCAGGGAGAUGGGCAGGCUUGGCCACCAUGUUACCAGGCAGUGUGCUAAACAUACUAUGUGCAUAAUCUGGUUCUUAUUUUUAAAACUUAACUUACUAUUAUCAUGGGCAUGUAUGGUGUGUGUGUCUAGGUCAGAGGGUAAGUUUCAGGAGUCAAUUCUCCUCUUCCACCGCGGGUUCUAGGGAGUGAGCUUAGGCCCCCAGGCUUGGUGGCACCCGCUUUUACUGAUCCAUCUCACCAGCCUUUCAAGUCUCACAAUCACCCUAGUGGCGCGUGGCUACUAUCAUGAUGUCUGAUCUUGGGUGGGGAAAUUGACUCAAGAGAGGGUGGUCACGUUGCUUAAAUGGGCCAUAAGGCUAAUAAACGCAGAAGCCAGGAUUCCACCGGAUGUCACCCCAGUUCCACAAUCUGGUUCCUCUGCUAGUCCACGGGCCAGCAAAUGAUGAUCUGAUGCCCUCCCCGAUGCCAAUCUGUGUAGCUUUCUCUACCAUCUCAACUUUCCAAAGCACAGAGGCACAUCUGGAUGAAGGAGAUCAGAGAAAGAGACCCCUAGGCCCGUGGGCUGUCAGGGAAGGCAUCUGGAAGGGGAAGGCCAUCUUGGACUUCAGAGGCAUUUGCUUGGCAGACCAGGCCAAGGAAGAAGAAAGAACGUGCAUGUUCUCCUUAAGCCACAAAGAGCAUCCCUUUGCAGACUCCAGUCUGGCAGUAUGAUUUGGAGACCACAGACAUCAUUCCAUGUCCCUUGGAGACUGGAGGUAGAGGGUCAACUCUGUCAGGAUCCCUAGAGACCCUGUGGAAGGGACAGGAUGACACUGAAAACUACUUCUGACGACUCGCAACCCAGAGCUGGAUGACACUCUCUGGGAAGGAGAUGUCUAAAAGUUGCAAGGCUGAGAAUACGCUGAACACAUUCCGCCGCUUCUGGAAAGUUUCUGCUGUUAUAGCCAUUUGCAAAUUUCUCCCAAGAUGAAAAUUCAAAACAAAGUGGGAAGUAAAUGGACCUUGUGAGCAAUGG